rnacentral:lncRNA from 1 species
UUUACACCGGUUAAUCAAUUACUGAACAGUUGCAGUAUCCUCCUCUCUUUUGCUGUUAGCUGGUGCUAACUGAAGUAAAAGCGAGUGUCAUCUCUCCGGCCCUCACCGCUGCCUUCACCACCAUUUACCCACGCGGAUGUUGAGCUUCCCGCCAGGGCUCAGGGAGCUCACAGUGGGAAGCAGAGGGCUUGAGAAGGGGUGGCUCUGCCUGACACUCCCCGGCUCCCAGCUGGGCCCACUUCCAGGUAGUGGGUUGGGGCAGGACCCGCAGGGCACAGUGCUUCCCCUGCCCUUCCCCACGGGGUUGGAGGCUCUGGAGGCAGCACCCUCCCUGGGGAAUCCUGGGGAUUCAGGAACAUCCCGAAGGUGCUCAUUUUCAUCCGUGGUUAAAUGCUGAGUUUGUCUUGGCUGCUGGGUUGAGCCCUGGAGCCACAUCCUGGCCGGAGCAGCUCUCCCGUCUAUAGGUCCUGGCCCACCUUGCCCCUUGUGCUUCUGCACUGGCGCCCCUUGUGCUUCUGCACUGGCACCCCUUGAGAGGGCAGCUUGGGCAAAAGAAAGGCUUGCUUUUGAGUAAAUUGGUGGCAGACCCCUCUCAGCGAACUUCAGCCCACUUGCUUUUGGAAAAUGACUCUGCGUGUUAUUAUGUUUUGCAAGACAUCAAAGGAUGUGGAAAAUCCAUUAUAAAUACCAGGGUAUGUUGCUCGCCCGAAGGGCCAGGGUUACUGAGGUGGGGGCGGGGGUGGAGCCUUGGGUUUCCAUUCAGUUCCUUCUGCUCUCCUUCCCCUCCGUGGCCCCAAGCAGGGACCUCUCCUCCCUGGGGCUUGACCCAGUGGCUGGAGGGAGGGAGGGGCCUGUCUGAAUUCACCCUCUGCACUGCUGCACCUGGAGCUGCUGCUGCGCCCAGGGUUCUUGGGUGCACCGGUAAAGGCGAGCAGCUGGUGGGUCAGAGGGAGGAGGCAAAGGGAAAUGAAAUGCUCCAAGCCCUCUCAAGGCAGAGAUUGGCAUCUUCCAGCAUUGAAGAGGCACUGUUGGGCGGGUGAGGCCUUCGGGAGGAAACAAACGCGGUGUGUAGAACAGUUUGCAGAGUGCUGGCCUGGGUCCCAGGGCCCGUCUGUCUCCCGCUUGUUGGUAAGAAUCCCUGAAGAAUUCUGUGCAGAAUCCCUCGUUUCCUCCAGCAGGUAUCUGACAGGCACCACAACCUGAGCAUGUGUAGAUGGACGCUGGUUUCUUCUGCUCUCUGCCUCAUCUCAGGUCCGGCCCUGCCACCUGUCCAGGGGCUUAGCCCAGAACCCCAGAAUCUGCUUUGAUGCCCCCGGGUCUGCAGGCAGACUUUGCUCUCGAAGGCACCUGAGUCUCACCUCCUUGGCCGUCAGCUUGGCACAAGUUACCCUGGCUGCUCCCCAGACUGUUCCCAUGGCCUGGCCCUGGCCGGGGACUCCCACUCUGCUUGCGGUCCUGAAGACAGCCAGAGAGGCCUUUGAGAGUGGAAGGCAGACACCAUAUGCCACCGCCCCCAGCUGACACUCAUAGGGGCUGCCCCUCAUGCUCUGGAUAAAACUCCGACUGGCUACUGUGCCUCUUUGGGUCUCCCCGGCCCAGGCCUGGCCAGGGGUUCCAGCCUUCACCAGGGGAAGGAGCAUCUGUGAGUCCAGGGAGUGUGCCUGGCCCAAUGCCUCUGCCCAGGGCCUUUGUGCCUGCCGUCCCCUCCCCAAUUCCACGCCUCCUGUUGCCCUCCGCAGAGGCACCUCUCCCGUGACCUCCAAGCACACCACCCACUAAAUCUCCGCCCUUCCUCUGCCUGCCUGCCCUCCCAGCACAGCCACUCUGUCCGCUCAGGCUCCUGAGCUGCUUACUUGUUCACCUGUCUUCUGCUGGAGACCAGGGAGCCCUCCCCUCGCUGGCUGUGGGGUCUGGGAACAAAGCAGUCUUAAUAAAUACUUCUCGAAAGAAUGGAGUAUGUGGUUGAAUAAAUAAGUCCCAGACAGGAGUUCCUUCUAAAAUGGUCUAGUUCAGGCUUCUCAGUUGCAGGUGGGGAAACUGAGGCCCUGAGCGGGCGGAGGUGGAGGGAAGUUGAGUGGCCCUGCCUGCAUCUCCCACCAGCGCUACCUCGCAUCCUCCUACAGCAUGCGAG